rnacentral:rRNA from 1 species
CACACCGCCCGUCACACCAUGGGAGUUUGUUGCACCAGAAGCAGGUAGCUUAACUUUCGGGAGGGCGCUUGCCACGGUGUGGCCGAUGACUGGGGUG